UCCUUGGGAUGGCUAUAUUACACUGGUACAGCAUCUGCUUUGCAUGCAGAAGGUCUCAGGUUCAAUUCCUGGCCUCCUCAGGAA